UACACUCCUACGGGAGGCAGCAGUGGGGAAUAUUGGACAAUGGGCGCAAGCCUGAUCCAGCCAUGCCGCGUGAGUGAUGAAGGCCCUAGGGUUGUAAAGCUCUUUCACCGGUGAAGAUAAUGACGGUAACCGGAGAAGAAGCCCCGGCUAACUUCGUGCCAGCAGCCGCGGUAAUACGAAGGGGGCUAGCGUUGUUCGGAUUUACUGGGCGUAAAGCGCACGUAGGCGGACUAUUAAGUCAGGGGUGAAAUCCCGGGGCUCAACCCCGGAACUGCCUUUGAUACUGGUAGUCUUGAGUUCGAGAGAGGUGAGUGGAAUUCCGAGUGUAGAGGUGAAAUUCGUAGAUAUUCGGAGGAACACCAGUGGCGAAGGCGGCUCACUGGCUCGAUACUGACGCUGAGGUGCGAAAGCGUGGGGAGCAAACAGGAUUAGAUACCCUAGUAGUCCCA
rnacentral:rRNA from 1 species